UAAGGAAUAUUGGUCAAUGGACGCAAGUCUGAACCAGCCAUGCCGCGUGAAGGAUGAAGGUCCUCUGGAUUGUAAACUUCUUUUAUCUGGGACGAAAACGGGAUUUUUAUCUCAAUUGACGGUACCAGAGGAAUAAGCACCGGCUAACUCCGUGCCAGCAGCCGCGGUAAUACGGAGGGUGCGAGCGUUAUCCGGAUUUACUGGGUUUAAAGGGUGCGUAGGUGGGCUUAUAAGUCAGUGGUGGAAUCUCCGAGCUUAACUUGGAAACUGCCGUUGACACUAUAGGUCUUGAAUUAUCUGGAGGUAAGCGGAAUAUGUCAUGUAGCGGUGAAAUGCUUAGAUAUGACAUAGAACACCUAUUGCGAAGGCAGCUUACUACAUAUAAAUUGACGCUGAGGCACGAAAGCGUGGGGA
rnacentral:rRNA from 1 species